rnacentral:rRNA from 1 species
CCUACGGGAGGCAGCAGUAGGGAAUCUUCCACAAUGGGCGAAAGCCUGAUGGAGCAACGCCGCGUGGGUGAAGAAGGUCUUCGGAUCGUAACACCCUGUUGUUAGAGAAGAAAGUGCGUGAGAGUAACUGUUCACGUUUCGACGGUAUCUAACCAGACAGCCACGGCUAACUACGUGCCAGCAGCCGCGGUAAUACGUAGGUGGCAAGCGUUAUCCGGAUUUAUUGGGCGUAAAGGGAACGCAGGCGGUCUUUUAAGUCUGAUGUGAAAGCCUUCGGCUUAACCGGAGUAGUUCAGUGGAAAAUGGGAGAGUUGAGUGCAGAAGAGGAGAGUGGAACUCCAUGUGUAGCGGUGAAAUGCGUAGAUAUAUGGAAGAACACCAGUGGCGAAAGCGGCUCUCUGGGCUGUAACCGACGCUGAGGUUCGAAAGCGUGGGUAGCAAACAGGAUUAGAUACCCCUGUAGUC